GAUGAACGCUGGCGGCGUGCCUAAUACAUGCAAGUCGAGCGAACGGACGAGAAGCUUGCUUCUCUGAUGUUAGCGGCGGACGGGUGAGUAACACGUGGAUAACCUACCUAUAAGACUGGGAUAACUUCGGGAAACCGGAGCUAAUACCGGAUAAUAUUUUGAACCGCAUGGUUCAAAAGUGAAAGACGGUCUUGCUGUCACUUAUAGAUGGAUCCGCGCUGCAUUAGCUAGUUGGUAAGGUAACGGCUUACCAAGGCAACGAUGCAUAGCCGACCUGAGAGGGUGAUCGGCCACACGGGAACUGAGACACGGUCCAGACUCCUGCGAGAGGCAGCAGUAGGGAAUCGUACGCAAUGGGCGAAAGCCUGACGGAGCAACGCCGCGUGAGUGAUGAAGGUCUUCGGAUCGUAAAACUCUGUUAUGAGGGAAGAACAUAUGUGUAAGUAACUGUGCACAUCUUGACGGUACCUAAUCAGAAAGCCACGGCUAACUACGUG
rnacentral:rRNA from 1 species